rnacentral:rRNA from 1 species
UGGGGAAUUUUCCGCAAUGGGCGAAAGCCUGACGGAGCAAUACCGCGUGAGGGAGGAAGGCUCUUGGGUUGUAAACCUCUUUUCUCUGGGAAGAAAAAAAUGACGGUACCAGAGGAAUAAGCAUCGGCUAACUCCGUGCCAGCAGCCGCGGUAAUACGGAGGAUGCAAGCGUUAUCCGGAAUCAUUGGGCGUAAAGCGUCCGUAGGUGGUUUUUCAAGUCUGCUGUCAAAGCCUGGGGCUUAACCCCAGAUAGGCAGUGGAAACUGGGAGACUAGAGUUCGGUAGGGGUAGCGGGAAUUCCCAGUGUAGCGGUGAAAUGCGUAGAUAUUGGGAAGAACAUCGGUGGCGAAGGCGCGCUACUGGGCCGAAACUGACACUCACAGGACGAAAGCUAGGGGAGCGAAAGGGAUUAGAUACCCCUGUAGUCCUAGCUGUAAACGAUGGAAACUAGGUGUGGCUUGUAUCGACCCGAGCCGUGCCGAAGCUAACGCGUUAAGUUUCCCGCCUGGGGAGUACGCACGCAAGUGUGAAACUCAAAGGAAUUGACGGGGGCCCGCACAAGCGGUGGAGUAUGUGGUUUAAUUCGAUGCAACGCGAAGAACCUUACCAGGGCUUGACAUGUCGCGAAUCUUCCAGAAAUGGGAGAGUGCCUUCGGGAGCGCGAACACAGGUGGUGCAUGGCUGUCGUCAGCUCGUGUCGUGAGAUGUUGGGUUAGGUCCCGCAACGAGCGCAACCCUCGUUUUUAGUUGCCAUCAUUAAGUUGGGCACUCUAGAGAGACUGCCGGUGACAAACCGGAGGAAGGUGAGGAUGACGUCAAGUCAGCGUGCCCCUUACGCCCUGGGCUACACACGUACUACAAUGGUUGGGACAACGGGUAGCGACCCCGCGAGGGCAAGCGAAUCUCAUCAAACCCAGCCUCAGUUCAGAUUGCAGGCUGCAACUCGCCUGCAUGAAGGAGGAAUCGCUAGUAAUCGCAGGUCAGCAUACUGCGGUGAAUUCGUUCCCGGGCCUUGUACACACCGCCCGUCACACCAUGGAAGCUGGCCACACCCGAAGUCGUUACCCUAACCGGAGGGGGACGCCGAAGGUAGGGCUAGUGACUGGGGUG